CACGUAGGGUGCGAGCGUUGUCCGGAAUUAUUGGGCGUAAAGAGCGCGCAGGCGGUCGUUCAAGUCGCGUGUGAAAGCCCCCGGCUCAACUGGGGAGGGUCACGCGAUACUGAUCGACUCGAAGGCAGGAGAGGGAUGCGGAAUUCCAGGUGUAGCGGUGAAAUGCGUAGAUAUCUGGAGGAACACCGGUGGCGAAGGCGGCAUCCUGGACCAUGACUGACGCUGAGGAGCGAAAGCCAGGGGAGCAAACGGG
rnacentral:rRNA from 1 species